rnacentral:misc_RNA from 1 species
CGCAGCUCAACGAGAGCUACUCUCGAUCAUGGCGGAGCCUUCAAUCACCAUGGAGGUUGGAAAUGAUGGCGUUGCUUUGAUCACCAUGUCUAAUCCUCCUGUAAACGCUCUAGCAAGGACCAUGUUUCCUGCCUUGAAGUCGAAAUUUGAUGAGGCGAUGAGGAGAAAUGAUGUGAAGGCUGUCGUUUUGACUGGCAAAGGAGGAAGGUUCUCCGGUGGGUUUGACAUCAAUGUUUUUGACAAGAUUCACAAGACUGGGGACGUAUCCCUCCUGCCUGAUGUCUCUGUUGAGAUUGCAGUCAACACAAUGGAAGAUGCCAAGAAGCCAAUUGUUGCUGCCAUUGAAGGACUUGCUUUGGGUGGAGGGUUAGAGGUUGCUAUGGCAUGCCAUGCACGACUAUCAACCAAAACCGCACAGUUAGGAUUACCUGAACUUCAGCUUGGUUUAAUUCCUGGGUUUGGAGGAACACAGCGACUUCCUCGUCUUGUUGGUCUUCCAAAGGCUUUAGAAAUGAUGCUGACAUCCAAGCCAGUCAAAGGAGAAGAAGCCUUUUCUCUGGGACUUGUGGAUGCCAUAGUCCCUUCUGAAGAGUUG